CCUACGGGAGGCAGCAGUGAGGAAUAUUGGUCAAUGGGCGGAAGCCUGAACCAGCCAAGUAGCGUGCAGGAUGACGGCCCUACGGUUUGUAAACUGCUUUUAUACGGGAAUAACGCGCCUUACGUGUAGGGCUUUGCAUGUACCGUAUGAAUAAGGACCGGCUAAUUCCGUGCCAGCCGCCGAGGUAAUACGGAAGGUCCGGGCGUUACCCGGAUUUGUUGGGAUGAAAGGGAGCGUAGGCCGCAUGUCAAGCGUGCUGUGAAAUGUCCGGGCUCAACCCGGGCCUUGCAGCGCGAACUGGCGUGCUUGAGUCCGCGGAAAGCAGGCGGAAUUCGUGGUGUAGCGGUGAAAUGCGUAGAUAUGACGAAGAACCCCGAUUGCGAAGGCAGCUUGCUGCAGCGGAACUGACGCUGAUGCUCGAAAGCGCGGGUAUCGAACAGGAUUAGAUACCCGGGUAGUC
rnacentral:rRNA from 1 species